rnacentral:rRNA from 1 species
AUGGUUUCCAUGGCGGCGGCCAGGAUCGCCGUCCUCCUGGCCGUGGCAGCGCUCUUCACCGCGGCGGGGGCAGCGGAUCCCCAACGCGCAAAGGGAGCACAUUGCUGGCGGUGCUACUCUUCCUGCAUGCACAAGUGCGACGGCCACCGUGAUGCCGCCGCCCGCUCUGCCAGCCGUACUCAGCCCGCAGUCCACACAACCGUCGAUGAUGGUGCAGCAGCCUCCUCCAUCCCCGUCAACUCUACCAAUGGCACUGCAGCAGUCGUACACUCCACCGAUGGCACUCUGAUGCCAACGACGACGAUAACAAGGACUACGACAAAGAUGACGACAAGGACGACGGCGAUGAUAAGGACGACAAUAAGGACGACAAGGACGACGACGAUGAUAAGGACGACAAGGACGAUGAUGAUAAGGAUGAUGAUGACGACGACGAUGAUGAUGAUGAUGAUGAUGAUGACGACGACGACGACGACGAUGACAACGGCGGCAGCGACUGGGCGAAGUACUUCAAGUGCAAGAAGAAGUGCAUCGUGGACUGCUACAGGAGCCUCCGCCACCGCCACCGCCACCACCACCACCAUCCAAGCCCGGGUCCAAAGCCCCCGAGUCCGAAGCCACCUAAGCCAAAGCCAACACCACCAAAGCCCACACCUCCAAAGCCCGCUCCACCUAAGCCCAUGCCGCCGCCAUCGCCCACGCCACCGAAGCCAACCCCGCCCAUGCCACCACCAUCGCCCAUGCCACCGACGCCAACCCCGCCCAUGCCACCGACGCCAACCCCGCCCAUGCCGCCACCAUCGCCCAUGCCACCGACGACAACCCCGCCCAAGCUGCCGAGCCCUCCUAAUACACCGAAGCAAAAGCCAAAGCCGAAGGCGCCCGUGUCCGCUCAAGACUAAGCCUAAGCCAAAACCGCCAUGCCCACCAUCAGCCAUUGUAUCUUCGUCGACGAACACCAGCAGCAACUGA